UAUAACAAUCUGAAUGAUAGAUCUGUUUAACAGCAAUGCAAUGUUACAUUUUCAUGAAAUCCUCAAAAGGGGGUAAAAGUGAGCAUCAUUGGAUUCCUUGUUAAAGUUGCACAAAAAGAAAAAAAAAUAGCAGUGAUUUUAUUAAUGAUUGUGAAAGUUGUCCUACAGAGUAACCUUCCUCUCUCAUCUCCCUCACACCGGCCACAGAUUUUAAAGGUGGAAGAGAAAUGAUUCAGUAAUACAAUCAGUGAAGGAGAUGACUGCAGAAAGUAACCCAAGUAAAAUAUUAAACCAUACUUCCUACCCAGGAUUUUGAGAUUUUGCCACCAAAGGAAUUUGCCACCAAACUUCUUUGGUUUGGGGAUUCUACUCCGGUGAAAAAUGGAUCUCAGUGACAUGUGCUUCAAGAAUCUCUAUCUUUGAAGAAUGAUGCAGCUGCCUCCUGGGAGGAAUUUUGACAACUUAGAUUACCCAGCUUCGCAGAUAUCUGGAAGAACGCUCGCUAUCGCCAACCCCAUACAGCCAGGAGCCUCUUCACUGCCCACACUCCACACUUUUUGAAC